rnacentral:rRNA from 1 species
GUGUCAGCCGCCGCGGUAAUACGUAGGUGGCAAGCGUUGUCCGGAAUUACUGGGCGUAAAGGGUGCGCAGGCGGACAUUUAAGUGAGAUGUGAAAGACCCGGGCUUAACUUGGGCAGUGCAUUUCAAACUGGAUGUCUGGAGUGCAGGAGAGGAGAACGGAAUUCCUUGUGUAGCGGUGAAAUAGGUAGAGAUUAGGAAAAACACCAGUGGCGAAGGCGGUUAUCUGGACUGUAACUGACGCUGAUGCACGAAAGCGUGGGUAGCAAACAGG